rnacentral:rRNA from 1 species
UACGGGGGGGGCAAGCGUUGUUCGGAAUUACUGGGCGUAAAGGGCUCGUAGGUGGCCAACUAAGUCAGACGUGAAAUCCCUCGGCUUAACCGGGGAACUGCGUCUGAUACUGGAUGGCUUGAGUUCGGGAGAGGGAUGCGGAAUUCCCGGUGUAGCGGUGAAAUGCGCAGAUAUCGGGAAGAACACCCGUGGCGAAGGCGGCUCUCUGGGACGGUACUGACGCUGAGACGCGAAAGCGUGGGGGGCGAACAGG